rnacentral:rRNA from 1 species
GAGUAACACGUGGGCAAUCUGCCCUGCACUCUGGGACAAGCCCUGGAAACGGGGUCUAAUACCGGAUACUGACCCGCUUGGGCAUCCAAGCGGUUCGAAAGCUCCGGCGGUGCAGGAUGAGCCCGCGGCCUAUCAGCUUGUUGGUGAGGUAAUGGCUCACCAAGGCGACGACGGGUAGCCGGCCUGAGAGGGCGACCGGCCACACUGGGACUGAGACACGGCCCAGACUCCUACGGGAGGCAGCAGUGGGGAAUAUUGCACAAUGGGCGAAAGCCUGAUGCAGCGACGCCGCGUGAGGGAUGACGGCCUUCGGGUUGUAAACCUCUUUCAGCAGGGAAGAAGCGAAAGUGACGGUACCUGCAGAAGAAGCGCCGGCUAACUACGUGCCAGCAGCCGCGGUAAUACGUAGGGCGCGAGCGUUGUCCGGAAUUAUUGCGCGUAAAGAGCUCGUAGGCGGCUUGUCACGUCGGUUGUGAAAGCCCGGGGCUUAACCCCGGGUCUGCAGUCGAUACGGGCAGGCUAGAGUUCGGUAGGGGAGAUCGGAAUUCCUGGUGUAGCGGUGAAAUGCGCAGAUAUCAGGAGGAACACCGGUGGCGAAGGCGGAUCUCUGGGCCGAUACUGACGCUGAGGAGCGAAAGCGUGGGGAGCGAACAGGAUUAGAUACCCUGGUAGUCCACGCCGUAAACUGUGGGCACUAGGUGUGGGCGACAUUCCACG